GGUGCUGUAGUAUAGUGGUCAGUACAGCUCGUUGUGGUCCUCCACAGCCCCGAGCAGACCUGGGUUCGAUUCCCAGCAGCGCCA